CUUACCGGAUUAGCUGAGAGGUGGUGCAUGGCCGUCGUCAGUUCGUACUGUGAAGCAUCCUGUUAAGUCAGGCAACGAGCGAGACCCACGUCCACAGUUGCCAGCAUACCCUCCGGGGUGAUGGGUACACUGUGGAGACCGCCGCUGCUAAAGCGGAGGAAGGAAUGGGCAACGGUAGGUCAGUAUGCCCCGAAUCUCCCGGGCUACACGCGGGCUACAAUGGUUGGUGCAAUGGGCAUCUACCCCGAAAGGGGAAGGAAAUCUCUUAAAGCCAAUCGUAGUUCGGAUUGAGGGCUGCAACUCGCCCUCAUGAAGCUGGAAUCCGUAGUAAUCGCGUUUCAACAGAACGCGGUGAAUACGUCCCUGCUCCUU
rnacentral:rRNA from 1 species